rnacentral:rRNA from 1 species
GACGAACGCUGGCGGCGUGCCUAAUACAUGCAAGUAGAACGCUGAAGGAGGAGCUUGCUCUUCUGGAUGAGUUGCGAACGGGUGAGUAACGCGUAGGUAACCUGCCUGGUAGCGGGGGAUAACUAUUGGAAACGAUAGCUAAUACCGCAUAACAGUAGAUGUUGCAUGACAUUUGCUUAAAAGGUGCAAUUGCACCACUACCAGAUGGACCUGCGUUGUAUUAGCUAGUUGGUGGGGUAACGGCUCACCAAGGCGACGAUACAUAGCCGACCUGAGAGGGUGAUCGGCCACACUGGGACUGAGACACGGCCCAGACUCCUACGGGAGGCAGCAGUAGGGAAUCUUCGGCAAUGGACGGAAGUCUGACCGAGCAACGCCGCGUGAGUGAAGAAGGUUUUCGGAUCGUAAAGCUCUGUUGUAAGAGAAGAACGAGUGUGAGAGUGGAAAGUUCACACUGUGACGGUAUCUUACCAGAAAGGGACGGCUAACUACGUG